CCCUUAGACGUUCUGGGCCGCACGCGCGCUACACUGACGAAGGCAACGAGCUUUCCUUUACCGAAAGGUACGGGUAAUCUUUUGAAACUUCGUCGUGCUGGGGAUAGAUCCUUGCAAUUUUUGAUCUUAAACGAGGAAUGCCUAGUAAGCGCAAGUCAUCAACUUGCGUUGAUUACGUCCCUGCCCUUUGUACACACCGCCCGUCGCUACUACCGAUUGAAUGGUUUAGUGAGGCCUUCGGAUCCGCGACUCGUUUGUGUAGAAGUUGGACAAACUCAGUCAUUUAGAGGAAGUAAAAGUCGUAACA
rnacentral:rRNA from 1 species